rnacentral:lncRNA from 1 species
GGAACAGGCAGGGUUGCUGCUGCAUGUUGCCAACCUGGCCACCAUCCUUUGCUUCCCAGCAGCAGUGGCCUUACUGGUUGAGUCCAUCACUCCAGGUGUGCCCCCACCCAUCCGUCCCAGCCCACACUGGGCUCAGCCUGUAUGGCAUGGAUCCCCCAUGGUGCAUGGGGGCCAUGGUUGAGCCUGCCUCUCCCACAGUGGGCUCUGUACUGGCUCUGGCAGCAUACACCAUACUCUUCCUCAAGCUCUUCUCCUAUCGGGACGUCAACCUGUGGUGCCGCCAGCAUAGAGCCAGGGCUAAGACUGGUGAGGCUGGUGAAUGAGAACUUGUCUGUGGGUGGGCCUGGGUGGCAUGGGUCCACCCUGGUGUCCCAUCUGUUUUGCUUGCAGUCUCUGCAGGGAAGAAGGCCAGUGGGGCCACUGCCCAGCGCACGGUGAGCUACCCGGACAACCUGACCUACCGCGGUGAGGACCUGUGGGGCCAGGUCCCAGGGGUGGGGGUCAGGGGCAGGGUCAAGUCUGUACUGGUUCCAGCUCCUCUCUUCCCUUCCAGAUCUCUACUACUUUAUUUUUGCUCCCACCCUGUGUUAUGAACUCAAUUUCCCUCGCUCCCCCCGAAUUCGAAAACGCUUUCUGUUGCGGAGGCUCCUUGAGAUGGUGAGGUUUAGGGCUGAGGGAGCCACUGGGGGUGGGAGGGAUUUGUGGCUGGUGGUGCUAGGUUCUCAGCUGGCUGCUCUUUGGCUCUUCCCCCCAGCUGUUCUUUACCCAGCUCCAGGUGGGGCUGAUCCAGCAGGUAAGUGGGUGAGAAGGUGGGUGGCAGGGGCCAGAUGCAGCCGGAUACUGAUCUGGUGCCCUCCUUUGCAGUGGAUGGUCCCCACCAUCCAGAAUUCCAUGAAGCCCUUCAAGGUGAGCAGCUGGGCUCUCCUGUGGCUGGGGUAGGUUGGGUGGGGGCCACAGCCGCUGAGGCAGCCUGUCUCUUCAGGAUAUGGACUACUCUCGAAUCAUUGAGCGCCUCCUGAAGCUCGCUGUGAGUACUAGCAGUGGGCAGGGUGGGGGAGCACAAGUGGCAGGUGGGCAUCUGGAACCUGGAGCCCCCUCCCUUACAGGUCCCAAAUCACCUCAUCUGGCUCAUCUUCUUCUACUGGCUCUUCCACUCCUGCUUGAAUGCUGUGGCGGAACUCAUGCAGUUUGGAGACCGGGAGUUCUACCGGGAUUGGUGGUGGGUGGCCUUGAGGGUGGCCCUGGGGACUGGGGUGGGCUGCAGCAUGCCUUGCUCACCCCAUUGUCUCUCAACAGGAACUCUGAGUCUGUCACCUACUUCUGGCAGAACUGGAACAUCCCCGUGCACAAGUGGUGCAGCAGGUGCGUGAGUGCUGUGUGUGCAUGUGUAGGAUGUAGGUGUGCACCUGGGCCUCUCCCUGUCCUAGGGCAUCAUCCUGUAGCCUCCUUCCCUUGCAGGCACUUCUACAAGCCCAUGCUACGCCGGGGUAGCAGUAGGUGGGUGGCCAGGACAGGGGUGUUCCUGGCCUCCGCCUUCUUCCACGAGGUCAGUGCUGUGAGGGCAUCCUGCCUCACCUCUGGGCAGGGGUGUAGCCACUGAGACAUUGAUGGCCUAUUCUCUCCUCACCCUAGUACCUCGUAAGCAUCCCCCUGCGAAUGUUCCGCCUCUGGGCGUUCACAGCCAUGAUGGCUCAGGUGAGCAACACCCCAAAUGCCUCACCCACCUGAACCCUGUGCCAAGCCCCAUUCCCUGUGGUUACUGCCUGCUGACCUUGGUCCUAUGUGUCCUCAGAUCCCAUUGGCCUGGAUUGUGGGCCGCUUCUUCCAGGGCAACUAUGGAAAUGCAGCUGUGUGGCUGACACUCAUCAUUGGGCAACCAGUGGCGGUGCUCAUGUAUGUCCAUGACUACUACGUGCUCAACUAUGAGGCUCCCACAGCAGGGGCCUGAACUGCCCAGGCUUGACUGCCCACAUCCAGGACAGACAGCCCUCCCUGCCUGUCCAAACCUGAGGGAACCUGGCUGCUGAGCCUUCCUCCUGCCCCAGGAGGCCUCUCUGCCCCUAUGGGGCUCCCUCCUGCUCCCCUUAGGGAUGGCAACAGUAGAGUCUGGCCCAGCUGGCAGGAGCCAGUGCCUUCUUUGGGAGUCUGUGCUGACUUGGGAAAGAGGGUGCCAAUAAAGUGCUGUCUAGAGUGACUCUCCCCUCAGCCUCCUGGGGGCUACUGGGAGGGAUGGUCCAGCACCAAUUCUGUGGGGGCAGGUACUCCAGGGGUUCAAGGCCCUUUUGGGCCUUAGGCAACCAGAUGAGGCUCU